ACCGAACCAGGUUUGAUAAGAGCCACAUCAACGAAACGUAUACAUUUGUUUGAAACACAGAGUCGCUAUCCGCUUAAACCCUACACAAAAUCCUCACCAUUUCGCGCUUCUUCAUUCUCUAUCACCACCACCUAGAGUGAGAGAGAGACUGUGCUGACAAUGGCCUGGCGUGGUUCGCUCUCCAGAUCGUUCAUCUCCACCGCUAGGGCUUCAACCAUCCGCUCUUCGCCGCCACUCCCUCGCCUCCGUCCGCCGCCCCUCGCUGCUCCUCGCCUCCAACCUCGCCGCCUCUCCUUCGCCAAUCCCAGGAAUCUGGGAGAAUUAGGAUGCGCUCAGUCGCUUUUGCCGCUGCACGGUGCGGUCCGCCUUACAUCUCACCUCACAGUCAACGUGCGGGCGUGUUGCGAGCUGUCUCACGGUACCUUCUGCCGAACUUGUCAAGAUCGCUAAUAGUUUCUUUGGUGGAAUGGAAAAGAUGGGUGAUUUGCGGCGCUUUCAAUCAUCGGGAGGCAGGACAAUGAUGGCGCAUUGUACUUGAACAUGCCGUAGUGGGUGCUACAAAAAUUUGGGGCAGUCGUAAUUAGUAGGGGUAUCCUGUGGGAAGUUUGUUUUUGGAGUAGGAAAAACUAAUAAUAGUACCUCAUCUUUUUUGCUUUUGGCAAAAAGAAACUUGGAAUUUACCGUCUUUCUGGGCAAGUUGAAAGCUGAAGCUUGAGAUAUCUUUGUAGGUUCUUUCAUUAUAAUAAUCAUUCAUACUUGAUGGUUCUGCAAUUUGUAAUUGCUUGCUUUUAGUUGUUGAACCUGGUCUGUUCUGGCAUCAUGCACCUUUGUUGAAUUUCGUAUGCUGCAUUAGAUGCAGUUUCUUUCUGAUUUAUAUAUGUGAUUGAAGAAAACAA